rnacentral:rRNA from 1 species
GCGGCAGUAAUGCAAGUCGAACGAUGAAGCCCAGCUUGCUGGGUGGAUUAGUGGCGAACGGGUGAGUAACACGUGAGUAACCUGCCCUUAACUCUGGGAUAAGCCUGGGAAACUGGGUCUAAUACCGGAUAGGAGCGUCCACCGCAUGGUGGGUGUUGGAAAGAUUUAUCGGUUUUGGAUGGACUCGCGGCCUAUCAGCUUGUUGGUGAGGUAAUGGCUCACCAAGGCGACGACGGGUAGCCGGCCUGAGAGGGUGACCGGCCACACUGGGACUGAGACACGGCCCAGACUCCUACGGGAGGCAGCAGUGGGGAAUAUUGCACAAUGGGCGAAGCCUGAUGCAGCGACGCCGCGUGAGGGAUGACGCCUUCGGGUUGUAAACCUCUUUCAGUAGGGAAGAAGCGAAAGUGACGGUACCUGCAGAAGAAGCACCGGCUAACUACGUGCCAGCAGCCGCGGUAAUACGUAGGGUGCGAGCGUUAUCCGGAAUUAUUGGGCGUAAAGAGCUCGUAGGCGGUUUGUCGCGUCUGUCGUGAAAGUCCGGGGCUUAACCCCGGAUCUGCGGUGGGUACGGGCAGACUAGAGUGCAGUAGGGGAGACUGGAAUUCCUGGUGUAGCGGUGGAAUGCGCAGAUAUCAGGAGGAACACCGAUGGCGAAGGCAGGUCUCUGGGCUGUAACUGACGCUGAGGAGCGAAAGCAUGGGGAGCGAACAGGAUUAGAUACCCUGGUAGUCCAUGCCGUAAACGUUGGGCACUAGGUGUGGGGACCAUUCCACGGUUUCCGCGCCGCAGCUAACGCAUUAAGUGCCCCGCCUGGGGAGUACGGCCGCAAGGCUAAAACUCAAAGGAAUUGACGGGGGCCCGCACAAGCGGCGGAGCAUGCGGAUUAAUUCGAUGCAACGCGAAGAACCUUACCAAGGCUUGACAUGUUCUCGAUCGCCGUAGAGAUACGGUUUCCCCUUUGGGGCGGGUUCACAGGUGGUGCAUGGUUGUCGUCAGCUCGUGUCGUGAGAUGUUGGGUUAAGUCCCGCAACGAGCGCAACCCUCGUUCCAUGUUGCCAGCACGUCGUGGUGGGGACUCAUGGGAGACUGCCGGGGUCAACUCGGAGGAAGGUGAGGACGACGUCAAAUCAUCAUGCCCCUUAUGUCUUGGGCUUCACGCAUGCUACAAUGGCCGGUACAAUGGGUUGCGAUACUGUGAGGUGGAGCUAAUCCCAAAAAGCCGGUCUCAGUUCGGAUUGGGGUCUGCAACUCGACCCCAUGAAGUCGGAKUCGCUAGUAAUCGCAGAUCAGCAACGCUGCGGUGAAUACGUUCCCGGGCCUUGUACACACCGCCCGUCAAGUCACGAAAGUUGKUAACACCCGAAGCCGGUGGCCUAACCCUUGUGGGGGGAGCCGUCGAAGGUGGGACCAGCGAUUGGGACUAUGUMSRACACCAAC